GAUAUUAUUUCUGUUCCAUAUAAUAAUUAAUUGUAAGUGCAGAAGAUCCAUGUCCUUUAUUAAUUUAUUUAUUCAUGUGCUCAGUUUCAGUAUCAAAAUGUUCUAAAUUUUCAUUCUGUGAGUGGAAGACACCAGUGAACACAACACAUCUAUUUGUACCUCUUAUGUUUCAAAGAAAAAAAAUGAGGAGACAGUGUCUUUUUUCCACAUUAUUUUGAUGAAUGUUAUUUAAAAUAAGAACUUUACUUUUCUAAACAUAAUGGUAAUGUUUCACAUAUGCUUGGUUCAGGGAGUGCUACUAUUAGACGGUGUGGCCUUGUUGGAAAAAGUGUGUCACUGUGGUUGUGGUCUUGGAGACCCUCCUCCUAGUUGCCUGAGGAUGCUCAGUCUGUUCCUGUAGAAAUCUCAGCUCCUCCUACACCAUGCCUGCCUGGAUGCUGCCAUGCUCCUGACUUGAUGAUAAUGGACUGAACCUCUGAACCUGAAAUCUCCAACUUUAUGAAAACAAUAUUGGAAUGGAUCAAAUUAUUAGUCCAUGAUUCAUUUUGAGUUAAUUUUUGCAGGUGGGUGCUCAGUGUCCCUGUGCCAUUAGCUGAGAUGAGUUUUGUUGCUGUCUAAUAUCGUUCUUGUUCCUUGGUAAAGUAUUAAUUUUCUAUGUCUAUAUGGAUGCGCUCCUGGGCCCCCUAUCUGCUUCCAUUUAUAUGUGGUCCCUGGUCUUGAUUCCUAUAAUUUUCUACAAAUUUUGGCUGGACAUUAUAAGUCCUCCAACAUUUUUCUCCUAUCCCUAGCAUUAAGUAUGCUAUUCUGAGUCUUCUUUUGCUUCAACAUAAAAUUUUCUAUGUUUUUAUCAAUACCCACAAAUAAUUUGCCAAAAAAGAGAUUUAAUAUACAAUUUUG